AUUCUAGAACAGUCUGACUCUAGAAAGAAGUGUGGCUCUAGAACAACCCAACUUUAGAGCCGUUCCAGGUCAUAGCUGACGAGUUCAGCUAGGCAACAAGUCAAGUGUUCGGUUUGAAGAUCUGCGGAAGGUCUUUCUGUUUGGAUAUGAGGUGGAGACAGUCUUAAGAAGACCACAUGGAGAUGUGCACACCCACGAAGAAGGGACACAACCUUCUCAGCAUGGACUAGCACAUCGAGAGAUGUCCCCUUGGUUAUCUCACAAGACCACUCACUGAUCAUCUGCUGGGUCAGCCUCUUCCUUGAGCCAUCAGUGACUGAGGAGUGACAUCAGCUGUGGGACCCACGGUCUUCAUCAUGUACAAGUGACAGAGCCUCCGGAUCUUACUGGUCUUCCUGGACCAGUGAGGGUUGUAACGAUUCAAUAGUGAUGUUACAGUGAGAUGAACAGCUGUGUUCUACUCAGGACUCCUGCCUUGACGCUAUGCCCCUCGUAGACCCAAAACCAUGGUGCCAACCACUCUCUGAAACUUGCUUCCAUUACUGGCUCAAGAUUCCUCCGGCCCACCGUGGCACCCGUGUCGUGGCAUGCAGUGACAAUGAGCUCAGGGUGCCAAAGUAGACGUGUGCAGAGCAACGGAAAGACUACACAGGGACACUUCACCGGAAUGUAGCAACAGGCUAAUGGCAUCUUCAACUUCACGUGACCUGCGUUUGGAACAUCAGAAUUAAGCAUCCAUAUUGACUCUGCCUUUCUUGUGAAAACAAUUAAACAGUGUGUGCUAGGCAGAGAGUCAUCUCAGGGAUUAAAAGGUGUUCACCUAUUCUUGCAAAAUCCAAGACAUGAAGGGCGGGUGUCAGAUCCUGUCCUGAGAGAGGUAGGGUGUAGGAGGGACCCUUACCAGAUGGCUGUAGUAGUCCUGUUCCUUAGGCAUCAGAAACACCCAGGAACUGUCCAACGACAAGGGUCGGACUGCCGUGAACUUGAAGAGGACAUUUCAGAAAGUCGUGUGUUUUGCAUAAAGACACACAGGCCAAGGGAAGGUUUGCAGUGGAUAAAAAUAGUCGCUGAGUCCCCGGCGUAGAUAACUCCACCUUAGAUGGGUGCAGUUACGGCUUGGCCCAUCAAAGCGACGGGGCUUCCCACAUCCCUCUGAAUUUCCUUCAGGGUCUUCAAAACCCAGCACUUACUCAAAAGCAGCAUGCAGCUGUGACUGACUGCUGUUUUAUGGCACGUUUACAAGAAUCGUAAUGUCCCCUAAAGCAGUUCUGAAAAUAGUAGAGUUCCCCCUUUCUGGUUUCUCCAU
rnacentral:sRNA from 1 species